rnacentral:tRNA from 1 species
GGCUUAGUGGUUUAUUGGUUAAGCGUUAGUAUGCAAAACAGAAGAUAUUGGAUUUGAUUUCCGAUUGCGCCG